rnacentral:rRNA from 1 species
AACGAACGCUGGCGGCAUGCCUAACACAUGCAAGUCGAACGAGACCUUCGGGUCUAGUGGCGCACGGGUGCGUAACGCGUGGGAAUCUGCCCUUUGCUUCGGAAUAACAGUUAGAAAUGACUGCUAAUACCGGAUGAUGUCUUCGGACCAAAGAUUUAUCGGCAAAGGAUGAGCCCGCGUAGGAUUAGGUAGUUGGUGGGGUAAAGGCCUACCAAGCCGACGAUCCUUAGCUGGUCUGAGAGGAUGAUCAGCCACACUGGGACUGAGACACGGCCCAGACUCCUACGGGAGGCCAGCAGUGGGGAAUAUUGGACAAUGGGCGAAAGCCUGAUCCAGCAAUGCCGCGUGAGUGAUGAAGGCCUUCGGUCGUAAACUGCUUU